CUAUGAUUUGUGCAUGUUCUCUACAUUCUUGUUGCAAAUAAAAUUAGCUUGGUUUUAGAAAACUUUAAUUAGCUGCCUGCACUGGAAAUACCUACAUUACUUGUGGCACAGUUAUCUUUUUGGUGAAUUCCAAGAUCUGGUUGGCAUUACCUAAUUAUUUUUCCAAACCUUCACCAUUCCAGCUAGCAUCUUCCAUGCUGCUUGUCUGCUGCAACCAAAUUAUUCUGGGAAGCUUAAGUGAGAAUUGCUUGGCUAUUUCUCAAAAGGAGUUCAUAAAAAAUUUUUGAAGAGUGUUUUCUUUUUAAAUUCUGUAAACAAUUUGGCUGGAAAUCUUUAGUUCUUUCAUAGUUUGGAGAAAGGACUGGAUAUUUGGCAGACUCAUUAUCUUUUCCAACUUUAGGUGUGCUUUCUGCAGAGCCUGUGAAAAUUUGUCCAUCUAUUUCUAAGUUAUACUAAAGUUUCUCUGGGCCCUAUUGUGCUCAAUUUUGACAGAUAUAUUUUCUGUAACUCCCCUUUGCUCCAGGCAAUCUUGAGUCUAACCUUAGUCAUCAGCAGCUAAGUGAGGCUUUGACUGUAGUUCUUUUUCCUCUCCAUUCAGAGGAGGUUGAACCUCUCAGACCUCAGGCUGAGCGAAAAAGCUGUCAAUAGGUGCUGCCUAUGGGAGCUGCUGGCUAUGGGAGAAGAGGAGCAGCAGCCUGGAACACAAAUUUGAUGUUGUACCUGGUAGCUACAAGAAGUUGGUUGUCAGAGAUAGCUGAAGAGGAAUACGGAGAUAAGAAAAUGGUGAGGAGGGAAAGCCCUGUGACAACAAGAGCGUGUUCCUCUACUGCCUAAUUAAUAUCUUGGGCUUCCAAAGCAUCCAAGGCCUUUUGCUGUUUCUAAAUAGCCAUCAUGAGCAGCCAGAAAAAGGGCAGCUUUAGUUCUGCUUGUGAUGAGGACAGCAGUGUUUGGUUUCCAUCAUUAGUCGUUACUUUCUUUGCUCAGUGUUCUGAUGGGCAGAUGAAAACUGUUGAAGAACAGGGCUGUUUCAGGGCUGAAUGAGAUGCCAUAAUUCAGGCCCAGUCAGACAACACAGUGGGUGUUGUUGUGGCCUCAUGUGUUCUGUCAUAUGCCUUUUUUCUUGGGAAGAGGAGAUCAGUUUAGGAAAUUGUGCACAUAAAAACUCCUGUGUUAAGGGAUACUAAGAUUAAUUAUUCAGUUAAAAAAAAAAA
rnacentral:lncRNA from 1 species